UAGGGAAUCUUCGGCAAUGGGGGCAACCCUGACCGAGCAACGCCGCGUGAGUGAAGAAGGUUUUCGGAUCGUAAAACUCUGUUGUUAGAGAAGAACACGAGUGAGAGUAACUGUUCUUGUAUUGACGGUAUCUAACCAGAAAGCCACGGCUAACUACGUGCCAG
rnacentral:rRNA from 1 species